GGGACGUAUGAUUACGCGGUUUCCUUUUAUAAUUAAUGUAGUUAGAUAAGUACAUUAUUUUUUAAAUAAAUAGCUUUUUUUGUAGCAACCCUAAAACGCUUUAAAUUGAAGCUAGAACAGGCAAAUUUUUGGUCUGUAUUCGUUAGUAGUUAAUGUGGCAUAAAAACUCCCGCAUACCUGAGACUUUUAGUCGCCCUAUAGAUUGAUCUGAUCUAGAUGUGAGUGCGCACCUAGCACGACGAAAUAAUUGGUUGGUUGUGGGCUGCAUGUAGAUCAGGCCUUGUGGCGGGACGUAAGCGAAAGCGUGCCCGUAGCCCAGGCCUAAGGCGUUGGAGGAACCGAGGGGUUUAGUGGGCAUGCCCCCUCAUUAUGGGGCGAGAAUUACAGUUGCUGUCGGAUGACAGAAGGAAUAUAAUUAGAAGAUACUGGUGCUGUAUUCUUCAUGUAACAUUUAAUCAACUCUCAAGACUUAAGAUAGUUAAAAUAAUUUGGAAAGAAGACAAACACAUAAAUAAACAGUUUAUAUGAAAUAAUGCUAAGCAACAGUAGAAUUCUUUAAGAAUUUAUCACAGAGAUAUUAUCAUAAUAGAAAAGUGAUGUUGACUUAAAAUCUCUUGUUGUAGUCCAUCUUGCAAUUGUAAUCAUUCUUGUAAUUCAAAAAUGAAUAUAACAUCAUAAUGAAUGGAAUUUAUCUUGUGAUUUGUGACUAAUGUUUUUUUUUACUGAAAACACAUUAUAGGUUUCACUUUUUUUUCUUUGGAACACACAGAGAUAGUUGCGGAUUGCAUGUGGUCAGAAAUAAAGUUAAUUUAGAUGUUACAUAUUUAAAACAAUUUACUAGCUAAGUAAUAUAAAUUAGCCAUAAAUUGAUUCUUUUAAUUUGCAUGGUGGAGACUUCUAAUUCCUGAUUUACAAAUGUUCAGCAUCCAUAUUAUUUACAGUCAGAUAAGAUAAGAUUAAUCAAAUGUUUAGAGUUUUUUAAGCCUGCAAAGUUUAGUAUUAGCUGCCAACUUAUAGACACAUCAUCCAAUAUUUUACAGCAACAUUAA